GUGCCAGCCGCGCGGUCAUACGGCGGAUGCAAGCGUUGUCCGGAAUCACUGGGCGUAAAGGGUGCGCAGGCGGGGCAGCAAGUCGGAGGUGAAAGCCCAUGGCCCAACCAUGGAAGUGCCUUCGAAACUGUUGCUCUUGAGUCCCGGAGAGGCUGUCGGAAUUCGUGGUGUAGCGGUGAAAUGCGUAGAUAUCACGAGGAACACCAGAGGCGAAAGCGGACAGCUGGACGGGUACUGACGCUCAGGCACGAAAGCGGGGGGAGCAAACAGGAUUAGAAACCCGGGUAGUCC
rnacentral:rRNA from 1 species